rnacentral:rRNA from 1 species
AGAGUUUGAUCCUGGCUCAGGACGAACGCUGGCGGCGUGCUUAACACAUGCAAGUGGAGCGACGAACCAGGCUUCGGCCUGGGGCAAAGCCGCGAACGGGUGAGUAACACGUGGGUAACCUGCCCCGAUGACCGGGACAACCCGAGGAAACUCGGGCUAAUACCGGAUGUGGUCACUUCACAUCAGUGAAAUGACUAAAGAUAGCCUCGGCCUUCGCAUCGGGAUGGGCCCGCGGCGCAUUAGCUUGUUGGUGGGGUAACGGCCUACCAAGGCGACGAUGCGUAGCUGGUCUGAGAGGACGAUCAGCCACACUGGGACUGAGACACGGCCCAGACUCCUACGGGAGGCAGCAGUGGGGAAUCUUGCGCAAUGGGCGAAAGCCUGACGCAGCAACGCCGCGUGGAGGAAGACGGCCUUCGGGUUGUAAACUCCUUUUGGUGAGGACGAGGAAGGACGGUACUUGCCGAAGAAGUCACGGCUAACUACGUGCCAGCAGCCGCGGUAAUAC